GUGGGGAAUAUUGCACAAUGGAGGAAACUCUGAUGCAGCGACGCCGCGUGAGCGAUGAAGGUUUUCGAAUCGUAAAGCUCUGUCCUAUGGGAAGAUAAUGACGGUACCAUAGGAGGAAGCCCCGGCUAACUACGUGCCAGCAGCCGCGGUAAUACGUAGGGGGCUAGCGUUGUCCGGAAUUACUGGGCGUAAAGGGUUCGCAGGCGGAAAUGCAAGUCAGAUGUGAAAGGCAAAGGCUCAACCUUUGUAAGCAUCUGAAACUGUAUUUCUUGAGAUGUGGAGAGGCAAGUGGAAUUCCUAGUGUAGCGGUGAAAUGCGUAGAUAUUAGGAGGAAUACCAGUGGCGAAGGCGACUUGCUGGACACAAACUGACGCUGAGGAACGAAAGCGUGGGUAGCAAACAGGA
rnacentral:rRNA from 1 species